GAUGAACGCUGGCGGCGUGCUUAACACAUGCAAGUCGAACGAAGCACUUUAUUUGAUUUCCUUCGGGACUGAUUAUUUUGUGACUGAGUGGCGGACGGGUGAGUAACGCGUGGGUAACCUGCCUUGUACAGGGGGAUAACAGUUGGAAACGGCUGCUAAUACCGCAUAAGCGCACAGCAUCGCAUGAUGCAGUGUGAAAAACUCCGGUGGUAUAAGAUGGACCCGCGUUGGAUUAGCUAGUUGGUGAGGUAACGGCCCACCAAGGCGACGAUCCAUAGCCGACCUGAGAGGGUGACCGGCAACAUUGGGACUGAGACACGGCCCAAACUCCUACGGGAGGCAGCAGUGGGGAAUAUUGCACAAUGGGCGAAAGCCUGAUGCAGCGACGCCGCGUGAGCGAAGAAGUAUUUCGGUAUGUAAAGCUCUAUCAGCAGGGAAGAUAAUGACGGUACCUGACGAAGAAGCACCGGCUAAAUACGUG
rnacentral:rRNA from 1 species